rfam:Oryza barthii chromosome 4, whole genome shotgun sequence.
AAAAAGGUAAACCCUGGAUUUUCGUGUUCAACUUUGACUGUCCGUCUUAUAUAAUUUUUUUUUAUAAUUUAUAUUUUUAUUGUUGUUAGGUGAUAAAACAUGAUUAAUAUUUUUUCAUAAUUUUUUCAAAUAAGACGGAUGGUCAAAUAUUGAACACGAAAACCAUGGUUUGUCUUUUU